rnacentral:lncRNA from 1 species
GCGGGCCGUGCCAGCCGUCUCUCGCCGAUGUCGUGCCUGAGGGCUUUGUUGGUUGGGUCGCUGGUGGAGGACGAGGCCAAGCUUGCUCCGCUCUUUCAGAUCCAGGAGUGUAACAGAGUGCUGCGGCGAGAUAUAUCAGCUUUCAGCCGCUAACACCCCAACCCGUGAUCUGUUUUUACGACGGAUCUAAAGUCCUCCGGCACGCUGCUGCCAGGUCCAGGAAGGUAUGCGAACUUUGAGCAGGCAACGUUGGUUCGUUCUCGGUGGAGGUACAGUGGGUCACUGGAUAGUGGAUACUGGAUACAAAUAGCAGCAGGUGGAUGUGUACGUAAUUGUACUUAUCCUGUGCUUUCUUGUGAUUGUAAACCUAAUCACAUUCUAGAUAAAUUGAUUCUUAUUGCCUUUUAUAAUUAGAAUAACUGGUGUUGUUUAUGAUGGUAUGUAUUAUCUUCCCUCCAGUUUUAUUCUAGCUGCUCAACUUGCAUAUUUUACAACAAGCCCAGAAGACACACACACUAUUUUAUGGAUAUUUACAUUAGCUUUUCAUCCUUCAGUGGUGAAAACAGUUUCCCAAAUUUUCUUUCCUUGUUCAUUCUUAUAUUAAUUUUGUUGUAAUGAUUUUCAUGACAAUCCACACACACACACACACACACACACACACACACACACACACACACACACACACACACAAGAUGCAAUAUUUAUUGAGUCUGAUUUUUUGGUGGAAACAAACCGGAGGAAGUGAUGUACAACUCAGCAAAAGGUAAGUGAUGUGAAAAUUCUAGGUGCAUUGCUAUUUACACUACCAUGCAAUGACAUUCAAAUACGUAUUAAGCAUGUCCUUAAUAAAGUUUAACAUGCCAUUUUCUAUUGGAGUACUCCGAUCCAAGCUGGAUAUGUAGCUAGCCUCUCCUAAUCUUCCUGUAAAAGACACUCUCCUAAUCUUGCCAUGCUUUCAGUUUCUUCGGUAUCAGAGUUCUCAUCUAUUCUUUGAGAUUUCCAAAAAUUUGUGGUAUCCUUCCUGUUCAACGUGACACAUGCAGGGCCACCUUAAGUGCUCAACUGCCAUGUCUAGCGGGAUAUGGAGAGGGACACGAAGAUUAUAUGCGUAGCGAUGGUUGCGGGUUGAUGAAGACGGACCUGCUGGUGCAGUG